rnacentral:rRNA from 1 species
CCUGGCUCAGGACGAACGCUGGCGGCGCGCCUAACACAUGCAAGUCGAACGAGAGAUGAGGAGCUUGCUCUUCAGAUCGAGUGGCGAACGGGUGAGUAACGCGUGAGGAACCUGCCUCAAAGAGGGGGACAACAGUUGGAAACGACUGCUAAUACCGCAUAAGCCCACGGCUCGGCAUCGAGCAGAGGGAAAAGGAGCAAUCCGCUUUGAGAUGGCCUCGCGUCCGAUUAGCUGGUUGGUGAGGUAACGGCCCACCAAGGCGACGAUCGGUAGCCGGACUGAGAGGUUGAACGGCCACAUUGGGACUGAGACACGGCCCAGACUCCUACGGGAGGCAGCAGUGGGGAAUAUUGCACAAUGGGGGAAACCCUGAUGCAGCGACGCCGCGUGGAGGAAGAAGGUCUUCGGAUUGUAAACUCCUGUUGUUGAGGAAGAUAAUGACGGUACUCAACAAGGAAGUGACGGCUAACUACGUGCCAGCAGCCGCGGUAAAACGUAGGUCACAAGCGUUGUCCGGAAUUACUGGGUGUAAAGGGAGCGCAGGCGGGAGAACAAGUUGGAAGUGAAAUCCAUGGGCUCAACCCAUGAACUGCUUUCAAAACUGUUUUUCUUGAGUAGUGCAGAGGUAGGCGGAAUUCCCGGUGUAGCGGUGGAAUGCGUAGAUAUCGGGAGGAACACCAGUGGCGAAGGCGGCCUACUGGGCACCAACUGACGCUGAGGCUCGAAAGUGUGGGUAGCAAACAGGAUUAGAUACCCUGGUAGUCCACACCGUAAACGAUGAUUACUAGGUGUUGGAGGAUUGACCCCUUCAGUGCCGCAGUUAACACAAUAAGUAAUCCACCUGGGGAGUACGACCGCAAGGUUGAAACUCAAAGGAAUUGACGGGGGCCCGCACAAGCAGUGGAGUAUGUGGUUUAAUUCGACGCAACGCGAAGAACCUUACCAAGUCUUGACAUCCCUUGACGAACAUAGAAAUAUGUUUUCUCUUCGGAGCAAGGAGACAGGUGGUGCAUGGUUGUCGUCAGCUCGUGUCGUGAGAUGUUGGGUUAAGUCCCGCAACGAGCGCAACCCUUAUGGUCAGUUACUACGCAAGAGGACUCUGGCCAGACUGCCGUUGACAAAACGGAGGAAGGUGGGGAUGACGUCAAAUCAUCAUGCCCUUUAUGACUUGGGCUACACACGUACUACAAUGGCGUUAAACAAAGAGAAGCAAGGCCGCGAGGUGGAGCAAAACUCAGAAACAACGUCCCAGUUCGGACUGCAGGCUGCAACUCGCCUGCACGAAGUCGGAAUUGCUAGUAAUCGUGGAUCAGCAUGCCACGGUGAAUACGUUCCCGGGCCUUGUACACACCGCCC